UACGUAGGGGGCUAGCGUUGUCCGGAUUUAUUGGGCGUAAAGAGCGUGUAGGCGGCCAUGUAGGUCCGGUGUGAAAACUCGAGGCUUAACCUCGAGAUGUCAUCGGAAACCAUUUGGCUAGAGUCCGGAAGAGGAGAGUGGAAUUCCUGGUGUAGCGGUGAAAUGCGCAGAUAUCUGGAGGAACACCGGUGGCGAAGGCGCAUCCUGGACCGGCAUUGACGCUGAGGCGCGAAAGCCAGGGGAGCAAACGGGG
rnacentral:rRNA from 1 species